rnacentral:lncRNA from 1 species
GAGGCAUUUGUGUGUGAGACAGUUGUUUUUAUCGUUGGCAGUAAGUACUAUUAAUUUCAAAAGCUUGGGCUGAUGGAAAUACGAAAUCAAUUCACUUAAAGCGUAUAGAUACAGUACUGCUUACGGAUCUCGAUUAAAACUCGGCCCAUCAAACCUCACGCCACUUCGAAUAUGACUCGGCCUAUCGGCCUUACGCCAUUUCGAACUAGACUCGGCUCAACAUAGUCUUCCGUCAUAUGACAGAAUGCUAGCUCAUUUAAGCCAACAAUAGUGUGAUGAAAUUUCAAUACGAAAUAAAAUUUAAUAUGUUAAUCACAAUCAACACUAUAAUAU